rnacentral:lncRNA from 1 species
CAUUAAUGAGCUAUGAAUAGAGCAGUUUACCUCAGUUUACCUUAUGGGUAAAGGGGUGUAGUAAAAAAAAAGACCAAAAACGCUCCCAAGCACCAUUAUCGAAGUCACCUCAACAGAACUCCUCUCCGGCACCGGUAGAGUUCUUGCUCGCCGGUGCAGGGAUCUAUCUUCUUCUCACCUUUCCCUCUAUAUCGUUUCUCUUGAUUGGUUCCUUUUAUCUUCAUCCUUCAUCUUGUUUGCUCUUUCCACUUUGUCCCUUAC